AUUGAACGCUGGCGGCAGGCUUAACACAUGCAAGUCGAACGGUAACAGGGRGAAAGCUUGCUUUCUUUGCUGACGAGUGGCGGACGGGUGAGUAAUGCUUGGGAAUCUGGCCUAUGGAGGGGGAUAACUACGGGAAACUGUAGCUAAUACCGCGUAGWAUCGRAAGAUGAAAGUGUGGGACCGYAAGGCCACAUGCCAUGGGAUGAGCCCAAGUGGGAUUAGGUAGUUGGUAAGGUAAAGGCUUACCAAGCCGACGAUCUCUAGCUGGUCUGAGAGGAUGACCAGCCACACUGGAACUGAGACACGGUCCAGACUCCUACGGGAGGCAGCAGUGGGGAAUAUUGCACAAUGGGGGGAACCCUGAUGCAGCCAUGCCGCGUGAAUGAAGAAGGCCUUCGGGUUGUAAAGUUCUUUCGGUGAUGAGGAAGGCAACUACUUUAAUAGAGUAGUUGAUUGACGUUAGUCACAGAAGAAGCACCGGCUAACUCCGU
rnacentral:rRNA from 1 species